UUGACUGCUCUGGGGACCAGAACUUGAGAUCUCUCUGUGAAACAGAGCAUAAGCAAAACAGUGAAGGUUUUCUCUCUGGUUGCCCAAUCUCUGUCACUGAGCCUCCGCCUUGUCCUGCUGGGGCCACCAGCUCCAGGUGGAAGAGCAAUUUGGUCUCCUCUCGACUUAAUCCUUGCCUGUC
rnacentral:sRNA from 1 species